rnacentral:ncRNA from 1 species
GUUGCGAUAGUAAUCCUGCUCAGUAUGAGAGGAACUGCACUUUCAGAUGUUUCAGAUGCUCUUUCUGUGCUUGGCUGAGAAGGCAGUGGUGCAAAGCCACCACCUGUGGGAUUAUGAGUGCACGCCUCAAAGUCAGAAUCUCCCUGAUCUCAGC